UACGAAGGGGGCUAGCGUUGUUCGGAAUUACUGGGCGUAAAGCGCGCGCAGGCGGCCUUUCAAGUCGGUGGUGAAAUCCCAAAGCUCAACUUUGGAAUUGCCAUCGAAACUGUAAGGCUUGGGUACGGGAGAGGUGAGUGGAAUUCCGAGUGUAGAGGUGAAAUUCGUAGAUAUUAGGAAGAACACCGGUGGCGAAGGCGGCCCACUGGUCCGGUACUGACGCUGAGGUGCGAAAGCGUGGGGAGCAAACAGG
rnacentral:rRNA from 1 species